rnacentral:miRNA from 14 species
AAUGCUCAGUUAAAUUUAGAUUUUAUAUUUUAAAAUGCAUAUGUUUUAGUAUAAGUGUGUCCAUGCAAUAUUUGGGACAUACUUAUACUACAUUUUUGUUUGUGUAUCUGAAAUUCAAAUGUUAUGGGGUGU